UAGCCUUUCGAAAGAAAGAUUAAUACCCGAUGGCAUAAUGAUUCCGCAUGGUUUCAUUAUUAAAGGAUUCCGGUAAAGGAUGGGGAUGCGUUCCAUUAGGUUGUUGGUGAGGUAACGGCCCACCAAGCCUUCGAUGGAUAGGGGUUCUGAGAGGAAGGUCCCCCACAUUGGAACUGAGACACGGUCCAAACUCCUACGGGAGGCAGCAGUGAGGAAUAUUGGUCAAUGGGCGCUAGCCUGAACCAGCCAAGUAGCGUGAAGGAUGAAGGCUCUAUGGGUCGUAAACUUCUUUUAUAUAAGAAUAAAGUGCAGUAUGUAUACUGUUUUGUAUGUAUUAUAUGAAUAAGGAUCGGCUAACUCCGUGCCAGCAGCCGCGGUAAUACGGAGGAUCCGAGCGUUAUCCGGAUUUAUUGGGCUUAAAGGGAGCGUAGGUGGACUGGUAAGUCAGUUGUGAAAGUUGGCGGCUCAACCGUAAAAUUGCAGUUGAUACUGUCAGUCUUGAGUACAGUAGAGGUGGGCGGAAUUCGUGGUGUAGCGGUGAAAUGCUUAGAUAUCACGAAGAACUCCGAUUGCGAAGGCAGCUCACUGGACUGCAACUGACACUGAUGCUCGAAAGUGUGGGUAUCAAACAGGAUUAGAUACCCUGGUAGUCCACACAGUAAACGAUGAAUACUCGCUGUUUGCGAUAUACAGUAAGCGGCCAAGCGAAAGCAUUAAGUAUUCCACCUGGGGAGUACGCCGGCAACGGUGAAACUCAAAGGAAUUGACGGGGGCCCGCACAAGCGGAGGAACAUGUGGUUUAAUUCGAUGAUACGCGAGGAACCUUACCCGGGCUUAAAUUGCAGUGGAAUGAUGUGGAAACAUGUCAGUGAGCAAUCACCGCUGUGAAGGUGCUGCAUGGUUGUCGUCAGCUCGUGCCGUGAGGUGUCGGCUUAAGUGCCAUAACGAGCGCAACCCUGAUCUUUAGUUACUAACAGGUCAUGCUGAGGACUCUAGAGAGACUGCCGUCGUAAGAUGUGAGGAAGGUGGGGAUGACGUCAAAUCAGCACGGCCCUUACGUCCGGGGCUACACACGUGUUACAAUGGGGGGUACAGAAGGCAGCUAGCGGGUGACCGUAUGCUAAUCCCAAAAUCCUCUCUCAGUUCGGAUCGAAGUCUGCAACCCGACUUCGUGAAGCUGGAUUCGCUAGUAAUCGCGCAUCAGCCACGGCGCGGUGAAUACGUUCCCGGGCCUUGUACACACCGCCCGUCAAGCCAUGGGGGCCGGGGGUACCUGAAGUACGUAACCGCAAGGAUCGUCCUAGGGUAAAACUGGUAAC
rnacentral:rRNA from 1 species